rnacentral:rRNA from 1 species
UGCCAGCCUCCGCUGUACUACUGAUUGUGCGAUCGUUAAUCGGAAUUACUGGGCGUAAAGCGCGCGUAGGCGGCUUCGUCAGUCAGAUGUGAAAGCCCCGGGCUCAACCUGGGAACUGCAUUUGAUACUGCGGAGCUAGAGUAUGGUAGAGGAUAGUGGAAUUCCAGGUGUAGCGGUGAAAUGCGUAGAUAUCUGGAGGAACAUCAGUGGCGAAGGCGACUGUCUGGACCAAUACUGACGCUGAGGUGCGAAAGCGUGGGGAGCAAACAGGAUUAGAUA